AUCUGGUUGAUCCUGCCAGAGGCGACCGCUUUUGGAGUUCGAUUAAGCCAUGCGAGUAGAAAGAAAUUAGACUCUUUGCGAACUGCUCAGUAACACGUGGAUAACCUGCCCUAUGCUCCGGAAUAACCUCGGGAAACUGAGAAUAAUACCGGAUAGAUCACAACGCCUGGAACGGUGUGUGGUUGAAAGAUUACGGCAUAGGAUGGGUCUGCGGCGUAUCAGGUUGUAGGGGGUGUAAAGGACCUCCUAGCCAUCGACGCGUACGGGUGUUGGGAGACAUAGCCCGGAGAUGGAUUCUGAGACACGAAUCCAGACCCUACGGGGUGCAGCAGGCGCGAAAACUUCACACUGCAGGAAACUGUGAUGAGGGAACUCCAAGUGCACGCACUUAGUGUGUGCUUUUUUCAACUAUUAAUCGGUUGAAGAAUAAGGGCUGGGAAAGACCGGUGCCAGCCGCCGCGGUAAUACCGGCAGCUCAAGUGGUCGUCGCUUUUAUUGGGCCUAAAACGUCCGUAGCCUGUUUGGUAAAUCUGUGGGUAA
rnacentral:rRNA from 1 species